rnacentral:rRNA from 1 species
AGAAUGAACGCUGGCGGCGUGCUUUACACAUGCAAGUCGAGCGAGGCGGGUAGCAAUACCCAGUCGAGCGGCGAACGGGUGAGUAACGCGUGGAUAACCUGCCCUGAGGUGGGGAAUAACCCGGGGAAACUCGGGCUAAUACCGCAUGAUACCUAGCGGUCAAAGAGGGCUCGUAAGGGCUCUUGCCACAGGAGGGGUCCGCGUUCGAUUAGCUAGUUGGUAGGGUAAUGGCCUACCAAGGCGACGAUCGAUAGCCGGCCUGAGAGGGUGAUCGGCGACACUGGAACUGAGACACGGUCCAGACUCCUACGGGAGGCAGCAGUGGGGAAUUUGCGCAAUGGGCAAACGCCUGACGCAGCAACGCCGCGUGGAGGAUGAAGGUCUUUGGAUUGUAAACUCCUGUCAGCAGGAAAAAGCGAAGUCACCGUAAUACGCGUGAGUUGAUUGUACCUGCAGAGACGCCCGCAACUCUGUGCCCAGCAGCCGCGGUAACUCGUGA